rnacentral:sRNA from 1 species
UAGUUGCGUAUCGACUGCAGUAGUGUG